rnacentral:rRNA from 1 species
AUUGAACGCUGGCGGCAGGCCUAACACAUGCAAGUCGAACGAGUGGCGGACGGGUGAGUAAUGUCUGGGAAACUGCCCGAUGGAGGGGGAUAACUACUGGAAACGGUAGCUAAUACCGCAUACCAUCGGAUGUGCCCAGAUGGGAUUAGCUAGUAGGUGGGGUAAAGGCUCACCUAGGCGACGAUCCCUAGCGGGUCUGAGAGGAGGACCAGCCAGACUGGAACUGAGCGACGGUCCAGACUGCCACGGGAGGCAGCAGUGGGAAAUAUUGCACAUGGGGCGCAAGCCUGAUACAGCCAUGCCGGGUGUAUGAAGAAGGCCUUCGGGUUGUAAAGUACUUUCAGCGAGGAGGCGUUACUCGCAGAAGAAGCACCGGCUAACUCCGUGCCAGCAGCCGCGGUAAUUC